rnacentral:rRNA from 1 species
UACGGGGGGUGCGAGCGUUGUCCGGAAUCACUGGGCGUAAAGGGCGCGUAGGUGGCUUGGCAAGCGCGUGGUGAAAGCCCGGGGCUCAACCCCGGGUCUGCCGUGCGAACUGCUAUGGCUUGAGCACUGUAGAGGCAGGUAGAAUUCCGGGUGUAGCGGUGAAAUGCGUAGAUAUCUGGAGGAACACCGGUGGCGAAGGCGGCAUCCUGGACCGGUAUUGACGCUGAUGCGCGAAAGCCAGGGGAGCAAACGGG